AUACGUAGGUGACAAGCGUUAUCCGGAUUUACUGGGCGUAAAGGGCGUGUAGGCGGUCUUGCAAGUCAGAAGUGAAAUUCCUGAGCUCAACUCGGGCGCUGCUUCUGAAACUGCUGGACUUGAGUGCUGGAGGGGAUAGCGGAAUUCCUAGUGGAGCGGUAAAAUGCGCAGAUAUUAGGAAGAACACCGGUGGCGAAGGCGGCUAUCUGGACAGUAACUGACGCUGAGGCGCGAAAGCGUGGGGAGCAAACAGGAUUAGAUACCCUGGUAGCCCACGCCGUAAACGAUGAAUACUAGGUGUAGGGGGUAUCGACUCCCUCUGUGCCGCAGUUAGCACAAUAAGUAUUCCGCCUGGGGAGUACGGCCGCAAGGUUGAAACUCAAAUGAAUUGACGGGG
rnacentral:rRNA from 1 species